UACAGGGGGUGCAAACGUUGCUCGGAAUCAUUGGGCGUAAAGCGCACGUAGGCGGUUCGUUAUGUCGGAUGUGAAAGCCCUUGGCUUAACCGAGGAAGUGCAUCCGAAACUGGCGAGCUAGAGUACUAAAGAGGAUCGCGGAAUUCCCGGUGUAGAGGUGAAAUUCGUAGAUAUCGGGAGGAACACCGGUGGCGAAGGCGGCGAUCUGGGUAGAUACUGACGCUGAGGUGCGAAAGCGUGGGGAGCAAACAGGGU
rnacentral:rRNA from 1 species